rnacentral:rRNA from 1 species
UGCCAGCCGCCGCGGUAAUACGGAGGGUGCGAGCGUUAUUCGGAAUUAUUGGGCGUAAAGGGCGCGCAGGCGGUCUUGUCAGUCAGAUGUGAAAGCCCCGGGCUUAACCUGGGAACUGCACCCAAUACUGCUUAGCUAGAAUAUGGUAGAGGGAGGUAGAAUUUCCGGUGUAGCGGUGAAAUUCGUAGAUAUCAGGAGGAACACCGAUGGCGAAGGCAUCUCUCUGGGCCGAUAUUGACGCUGAGGCGCGAAGGCGUGGGUAGCGAACGGGAUUAGAUA